CUUUUUGGUAUAUAAUUUAAAGUCAGGCCUGCCCCGNGAUUAAGAUUUAACGGCCGCAGUAUUUUGACUGUGCAAAGGUAGCAUAAUCAUUAGUUUUUUAAUUGAAAGCUAGAAUGAAGGGUUUGAUGAAAAAAUAACUGUCUCAAAUUUAAUUAAUUUGAAUUUUAUUUUUUAGUAAAAAAGCUUAAAUAGUUUAAAAAGACGAGAAGACCCUAUAGAGUUUGAUAUAUUUAUUGGUAAAUAAAAUUAGAAUAGAUUAUUUUUAUAAAUAAAUUUAUUUGGUUGGGGKGAUUAAAAAAUUUAAUUAACUUUUUUUUUAUUUUAAUAUUUAUUUGUAAGUUUUUGAUCCUUUGUUGUAAGAUUAAAAGUUUAAAUUACCUUAGGGAUAACAGCGUUAUUUUUUUUUARAGUUCAAAUUAAAAAAAAAGUUNGCNCCCCCNANGNNGGGAUUAAA
rnacentral:rRNA from 1 species